GGGGAUGAAAGGAUUUCGACGGGGAGUUUGAAUUCCGGUAAGCGAGUAGCGGUGCAGACCCGCUAUAAAAUCUGCAACGUUUAAAAUAAACGACAACACAAAUUAUUCUCUUAAGGCUGCCUAAGGCACCUUCGUCCUGCUCUUGAGUACUGCGGCUUGAGCAAGGGCGUCGAUUAGCAGUGAACGUGAACGGGAGAGUGCCUCGGCUCCCGUCAUGACUUAGAGACUACCGAACCUGCAAGCCUGUUUUUCGGCGUGCAGUCGGGGGAACCUUAAAAGAUAAACUACACUCGUAGAAAGCCGGGUGGAUGACUUUUCGGACGCGGUUUCGAUUACCGCCAUCUCCACCA
rnacentral:tmRNA from 1 species